ensembl:lncRNA
UAGGGGGCUGAGCUCCCCGUGGCCCGGAGCCCUGUGUGUGCCCUGCCGAGCGGCGAGGACACACCGAGGGCCCUGGACGGAAUCGGGGGUGCUUGCGUGCGCGGGUGCGUGCGCCGCACUCCCGAGGGACGCGGUUUCAUCCUGUGCCCUGAGCCCUCAGCUGCAAGAAACCAAACUGCUCUGCGUGGAUUUAAGGACAAAAGGGCUUUUGCAGAAAGGGAUCGGGCAGCUCGUUGAAUCGGCGGGAAUGCCAGACAAGUGGACUUGAGAAUAGGCCCGGAAAAGGGAGCAGCAGCCAGGGCUACAGCCAAGCCCGCCCUGGGGCCAGGCGGCCCGAUAUCCUGGGCGCACUGCCUUUCUGGGCGCUGCCAGCGCUGCGGGGCGCAAAGGCCUCCCGGGGUGCACGCCCCUCCCCGCUCCUGGCCUCGCUCUGGCUCUGGCUCUGGCUCUGGCUCUGGCUCUGGGUCAGACCAGGGCGUUCACAUGCGACGGGCCGCCCCGCUCUCCCACUCUGAACCCACGGGGCGCGCACAGGGGAGCAACCCGGCCGGGGCAAUGGGACAAGCCCUCUGCCGCUGGGCUGAGAAGGACUGGCCGGCACGGCCUGGCCAACAGACAAUCUCUUCAGGAUUGCUGUAGAAGUGGAGAUCAGGCGUGACCUCCCACGGGUGUUCAGGGAGAUGGUGCCAUGCACGCGCAGCCCUUCCCGGGCCAGCACCCACAUCAGACCCACUGAGUGAGCCCCCUUGUUGCAUGGCAUGGCGAUGUCCACAUAGCGCAGAGGAGAAUCUGUUACACGGAGCAGUGGGCGGCACAUUGACGUAAGACACCCCCGUGAGGGGCUGGUGGUCAGCCCUGGGAUCCGUCACCACCGGAAGACGCGGCUCUCGGAGGGCUGCCUGGAUCCGGUCAGUGAAGGUCCCGGGAGUGAAGCAGCCCGCGAUAGGAGCAGCUCCAGUGGCAGCGGCAACUCCGGCACAGCCCGAUGGUGGUGUUCCUAGAGGCUAUGACGCUGGCACCAGCAGGGUUUUCAGUGGCGACCAUGGCUCAUGCAGCAGCGGGAGUUUUUCCAGGUGCCCUGGCAGAGUCCCCAGAGCACAGCUUUAUAAUCAAGCAGCUUCAGCUCCACCACGACCCAUUUGUUAGCUGCGCGACCUUCACAACUAACGCAGCGCCGGCACCCUGUCCUCAUCUGGGAAGCAGGUUAAUGACUGCUGUGGGGACCAAAUAACCCUCUGCCUGUGCUUUAGAUGCACACAGAAUGCCGAGCACGCAGCAAGCCCGCUUCUCGUUCCUCCACACCGUCCCCAUUCUCUGUCCCCGGGGCAGCAGCCCUCAUGCACUCGAGCAGGACCCCAUCUGCCCCUGCAUCUCCGUGUGCAGCUCUUGCGAGGCCAGACGGCCACACACGGAUCAUCCUUCUGCCCGGAGGAGGAUUCUCAGUGGGACACAAGAUCACCUGAUCCAGAAGCUCCCAGUUCCCUCAAGUGGCCAAAGCAGGUAGGGAGUGGCAACGGCAGACCACACGGCAGGGGGGGGACCCCAGGCCAGUGACCAGCUUCUGCCCCAGCCAGGUUUUGGAGCUGGAGGAGCAGCCCUGCCUUGGGAGGAGCUGCCCCGUACCCUGCCAAGUCUACACAGUGACUCACAGGUAUUACUGUACCAGGAAAGGGUGGAGAGCAGCACCCAGAACUGUGGGCAGUGAGCGGACAGUGACCCCACAUGAUGCGGAAACCUAGGCUCCACUCCAGGGCCUCAGGUGGUCCAGGGACCACCCUGGUCUCUGAAUGUACAAAUGAAAUGGGAUAUGGAUUAAAGUCAGAUCCAGACUCUGGUCUCCUGGAAGCUGGAGGUCAUCACAGGCUCACGCUGCGUCCUCGGGUGUGGGCAAAGGCCAGAACCGUUGGACGAACACACCAGUUGUCCCCACAGGCCCCUGGGCCAGAUGCCAGUUACAGACAUCCCAGGGAAGAAUAGCCAGACCGAGUUCCACCAUGAGAGUCCUACAGGAAGCGGAGAGCUGAUCCUUGGAGCUGCCCUUAUGUGUCAGUCUGGCCCGAAAAGAGCAGGUGGAUCCUGGGAGACGUCACAGCGCAGCGCCAGGGGCAGCUGUGUGCCAGGCACAGUGCAGCCCUCGCCGCACACAGCCACUGACCUGCAGGAGUAGUGACACUCGCCUUUCUUCCUCUCAUCCAGACGGCCCUCACCUUGGUCAGCAUCUGGGACACAGACGAGAUGCUAGGUGUGGAACAGGAGCGUGUUCUGGGACAGGACUGUGAUCUGGAUGAAGUGAGGUGACUCAGGCCAAGCUGUUCAGCAUCUCCAGGUGCGGCUGCCUGACUGUAGCAUGGAGACAGUAACAUGACCUGUUACAGACUGUCGGGGGCAUUACGUGAGCCAAUACUUGAAAAUGCUGAGAAUAACCAGCACAGCAAGCAACUAAAACAGAAAUAGGAUCUUUCUGACUGCACAACUCCCCUUGCUCAUGCGCUUCCUGGACACACACAUCAAAGACCGUGUCAGAGAAAGCUGCAGUUUCGACCCUCAAGAUAAUAAACCGUUUCUCAGUUCUGAAGCCACAGCAGCGGAGGAGCCUGCACCACUAGCGACUCUCCCGAGUUGCCCGGACCACGGACCAAGUCUGCGGCUGAGGGUGGGGAGGACCAGAGGGUUCGGGAAGCCCCCACGAUUCCAGACAGUGUGCUGCUGCCGGAAGUAGCAGGUGCUAGGAGCACAUCAGCAUCAACGUGAAGGGACGCGGCACAGACCAAGCAAGACUGCGGACACAGAUAUGGCCACAGCAAGGCUGCCCACACACAGAAGCAAGCUGUGAUAGAAGUUUAAUUUUUUUUUUAUGAAGAAGGGAAGUGUUUACACUGAGAACUUCAUUCCACUAAGGAUUAUGUCUGUUUACAAAAUCGAGAUGUGUACUUAUUUCUAGCUGGGUAAGGGCCCAAGCAUAAACACAUGGCAAUUCUAAUUUGGCCCAAUGACCCUGGAAGUACUACGACUGAACGUAGGAGGGUUGGUCAGCAUAAAUAGCAGGACCUGACAGGCACAGACACUGGUACGGAGUAGAGGGUGCCCAGGCGGUCAUACAAGAACCAGGGAAGAGAGACAAGCACACACUGCAUGUUAGAAUGCGGAUUACUCGAUGUCCCCAAGAGAUGCAUUACGUACAAAAAUGAAAUCUCUCACUAAAAAUGAGACUUCUAGAAUCAAAACUCACAGUAAAGAAUACAAAUACUAUAAACAAUGAUAAUAGAAUGGAUCAAACCUAAUAGGUUAGGUACUUCCGGCAUGGAAAACCUAACACAUCAUUUCUACAAAAGAUACCAAGUUUCAAAGACAAAAAUUCAUAAGAAAGGGACUUAAAAGUUUGCCAUCAAAAAUAUCAGUCUCACACUGUGGCUCAGUUUUGAAAUAUACUCAUCUACAUAAUCAGACAUAUCCAGACCAAAAGUCAACUAGUCAAAAACUCACAUCCUUUCUUUUUCCUUUAGUUAUAGUAAGAAUACCAAAACUUGGGAAAGAAAGAAUACUGAAAGAAUAGGAAUUAUUUCGAAUCAUACUGUACUGGGAAAUUCUUAAACUUAA